GGCGGCGCUGGAAGGACGGCGCGCGGAGGCGCUGCAAGCAGUGGGGCCGCGCCGGGCCCGUUCCAGCCGGGCUCAGCCGAGCCAGUAGCGGCCGCGCGUUGGACCGGGCCGGGCCGGCGAAGGUGUGCACUUUCAUCAGUUUUCAGCUGCACGAUGUCACCGAUGCCUGUCCCUGGGUUAAUUUUAGCUGUCGCUCUUCUCCUUCCACGCCAAAGUGCUUCUGUCAUAAUCCUCUGACAAUACCCCUCCUUCGAGGAGUAAAAGGGAGCAGCAGAAGUUUUACUUGUCUUCCCAUGGCAUCUGACUUUUUUGAGGAAGAGGUAAGGUGUUUGAUUUUUGUAAGCACCUAUUUGUGGCAUGCCUCUUAGAAAGGGCAGAUGUGAACACCAUCCAGGGAGAUGUGGCACUAACGUCAUGUCUGUGGGAUUCAACAACAUGAUAGAUCAAUGGAAUGCACCAAGGAGCUGAAGCAGCAAGGUCCACGAUGGGGAAGAUGAAGCCAGCUGUCCAUCCUGUCCUGUACCUGCCUGAGUGCAGGAAGAGUCCUCAUACAAAGUCAGAAUGCAUCUGGGCUUGCAGUUCUUUUAAACCAUAUUCAGAGUUAAUGAUGAGCUCAGUGAGACUGGCAGUGCUAAAGAAGGGAAGAACAGAGAUGGAAGGCAGGAACUAUUUCAAAGCAGGAUUUUUCUCCUUUCCAUAACACACAAAGAUGAAGAUUUUAUAAACUUCAUUAGAUCCUGUCAUCAGUGACUGAGCUGCCCUGAAAUCUUCUUAUCAGUUGCUGCCGAGAUGAGAAGGAUAACAGGAAGGAGGAUUGCUAAAGUGGUUUUAAUGACAGUUAAUUUCAUCUAUUUAUCAAAUGACAGGUUGUUUUUUCCUCAAAACUCGAUUGUCAUGACAAGAUGCUUUUGGAAGUCAUCUUUGUAAAAUAAAACUGACAAUUUUUA